GGAUAUGAGGACGAUCUGUCACCCCAUUGAUCGCCAGGGUUGAUUCGGCCGAUCUGGCUGGCUAGGCAGGUGUUCCCCUCCUCCCUCACCGCUCCAUGUGCGUCCCUCCCGAAGAGGUCCGCCUUCCCUGAACAGAGACCGACCAGUCGAGGGUAUACGAGUAGCUGUGCUCCCCUGCUAGAACCUCGAAACAAGCUCUCAAGAGAGAAGGAAAUAAAUAAAUAAAGGAAUAAG
rnacentral:snRNA from 1 species